AUACGAAGGGGGCUAGCGUUGCUCGGAAUUACUGGGCGUAAAGCGCACGUAGGCGGACCGAUAAGUCGGGGGUGAAAUCCUGGAGCUCAACUCCAGAACUGCCUUCGAAACUGCCGGUCUUGAGUUCGGGAGAGGUGAGUGGAACUGCGAGUGUAGAGGUGAAAUUCGUAGAUAUUCGCAAGAACACCAGUGGCGAAGGCGGCUCACUGGCCCGAUACUGACGCUGAGGUGACGAAAGCGUGGGGAGC
rnacentral:rRNA from 1 species